rnacentral:sRNA from 1 species
CUGCUUUUCAUUCUGCAUAUUUUUUAGGAUUAAAUUGGCAAUUCCGGAAACUUCCUGGAAAGGGUUCAUUAUUAACCUAGAAUCCAAGGGUGGGUCCACAGACAAAGAGGGGGAUGUGUUUCCUGCAUUUAUCCAUUCCUCCAUUUGACCAUCAGCUUUCACAUUGAGAGCAUGGCUCGGGGCAUCCUUACCUGGCAGCCUCCUCUUGGCCUGCUUUACUCACCACUCUGCUCACUCGCUCUGUCCACAUUGGGUGUCCUCCUCCUGAUACAUCAAGCUUGUUCCCACCGUUGGGUUUAUAGACAAAUUUUCAAUAGAAAAUUCCUGUUUGUUUAUUGUUUUUAUCCAGCACCUUCCAAAAAGGGAAAGAAGCGGAAGGCACAAAGGGAAGAGGAACAGGAACAUUCAAAUAAAGCUCCCAGGGUGCUUACAUCAAAAGAACGGAGGCGAGCAGUACGACAGCAACGGCCGAAAAAAGUUGGUGUGCGCUACUAUGAAACACACAACGUGAAAAAUAGGAACAGGAACAAAAAGAAGACCAAUGACGCAGAGGGACAGAAACACAAACGCAAAAAAUUCCGACAAAAGCAGUAAUGUUUAAAAGGUUUUUAUUAAAUUAUACAAAAACAUGCA